GUUAUCGACAUGGCUUGUUUCUGCUGGUGCAAAAAGGUAUGAAAUCAGGUCAUUUAAUCAAUUAACAACUACUUCAAUUCUGGAGUAGUAUUUUUCUCUUAGACCUAGUGAGAAGAAUGAAGUAAAAGUAGAUUCUGAUGGACGAAUACAUAAAAAGUGUACAUGAAAUGUAUAUGAAGUUCAGCUUUUGCAAAUGUCACUCAAUGUAACUUUCUCUAUACUGUGUUAUUUGAGGUUGAGGAUAGAUAGUUAAGUUCCUCUAAUUUAGGCCUACCUGUUCCUAUUAAUAUGACCCCCCCCACACACAUUUUUUUUUCUACAUUGGCUGGGGAUCGGGGAAAAAUUAUUUUGAACUUACACAUAUUCUUGUCAACAGAAAAAACAGCAGAAAGCCAAUUCAAUUGAUGUGGAGCAGAAGACAAGAAAUAAGAAGAGGAGUAGCACUUCCUCCCCCUCUCCAAUUCCAACUGACCGUUCUGAACGGAAUGCCUCCGCCACCUCUGACCCCUCACCCUCUGACCAACUCUCCUCCCUCUAUCCACCUCUCUCUCCUGUUAACUGUUCCUCUCAGCCUUGCUCUCCUGCUAAACAGCCCUCUCUCCCCAGGUCACCUGCCAAACACCCUUCCCCAGUGAAAUUCUCUCCAGUGGUGUCCUGCCCUAAUUCUCCCUCUCCUACCAACCCCCUGGACGGUCAUGGAGACACCAGCCAAGAGGGCGCAACAGUCAGGACCACUCUAUCCCAAGGCCCCAGAGGUCAGGCUCAGGUGCCAGAAGCCAGACUCUUCCCAGGGCCAGCUCAGCCACCAGAAGGUCAGAGGAGACCCAGGGGGCCAGAGGAGAACCGGGGGCCCUGGUCAACAUGGAACUUCUUGGGUUGCCUAACAUUGGCAACACUUGCUUCUUAAACGCCACCCUGCAGUGCCUCCUGGUCCUGCCUUCCUUCUCAAAGGAAAUCCUACGCCAGGAACAACUCUGGAGCUCCUCCCCCUUUCUCCAACCUGCUCAGGUGUCUGUCUGAUGUGCACCGUUCGGGUCUACCUGACAGUGGCGCAAACCAGGCCUCAAAAGCAGACCUCAUGUGGAGGUGUCAAGUACUCCUCAUGUCAAGUACUCCUUGUCGGGAUAUGAUUUGAAGUAUCUGGGGGACACGCAACAGGACGCACACGAGUUACUUGUGAAUAUGCUGUGCCAGCUGAAGGAGGAGGGCAUGAUACUGAAGACACUCGGGGUGAACUAUACCUGCCCUGUUUCCCAGCUGGAGUUCCAGCUUGUCUCAGUGCGCACAUGUACCAGCUGUGGGCGUGAGUCGUCCACCAGAGAGGACUACAAUCACCUCUCAUUGGACUCAGCUCUGAGUGCACCUUGCUAAGCAGCCUAGCACUCACUUUCAAAGGAGAAAAGGUUGAAUUCACAUGUGCGGGCUGCAAGGGCCUCCACGCCUCAAAGGUGGAGCAGUUCCACACACUGCCUCUUGUGCUGGUUCUGCAUCUGAAGAGGUUUGGAGGACCUGGGGGGUUGGAGAAGCUGGAGGCUCCUCUUUUGUUUCCUUCAGAGCUGAGGCUCUCCAACUUCUGUGGGGACACGGUGCCACCCCUGCACAGUGCCAGCCCACAGGCCCUCACCAACCAGACCCCCAAUAUCCAGGUGUCCAUCCCCCAGACCCUCGCCAGCCAAGUCCCCAACCCACUCGGAGAGGCCAAAUAUAGCGCCAUCUGCUGUUCAGAAGCUGCAGCCAGUGAAGUCAGUGAUUGGCUACUACCAGCUGACUGGCGUAGUCUCUCAUUUGGGAGGCUCCGCAAACUCCGGGCACUACAUUAGUGACAUCUUGAAUGCCAGUGGAAACUGGUUCUGCUGUAAUGACAGCCAAGUGUCAAUGUCCAAUGAAGCCACUGUGCUGAGGACCAGAGCCCGGAGUGCUUACCUGCUUUUCUAUAUGUUCAGGGCAGGAGAGCCUUAGGCCCCAGCACACAGGGCCUAACAGGGCCACCAGCACCAGCCUUAACAGGGGCAGCACCUGGACCAGCCUCCACACACCAAGCUCAGCCUCAAAAGCCUCAGCCCAGACUCAACAGGGGUUGUGCCAGGCCUAGACUAAAUACCCUCAGCCCAGCUUCAACAAGGGUAGUCCCAGGCCCAGCCUCAACAUCCUUAGACCUUCCUCAACAGGGGCAGCACCAGGCCCAGCUUUAACACCCCCAGCCCUGCCUCAACAGGGGCAGCACCAAGCCCAGCUUCAACACUCCCUGCUCAGCCUCAACAAGGGGGGUGGGGGUGUUAUGAUCACUACUGGCUUCUUCUCAUGGAACUGGCACAAUGAAAAGAGACCUGGUGUUUGAGAAAGAAGACUGAAACCUCCUGCUCCGACUGAGGAGGAUGAAGAACAAGGUGCACUGCCUAUGGACUGUGCCACCUCUGAUCAGGUCCAGACACAUGAUUACUGUGCAGCCCUGAACCCGCAGCCCUGGACACGGCCCUAAUGGCAAAUCAUGAGCACGUAAGAGAAAUUGAGGAGCUUCGAGCCAAGCUGGAGAAACUGACCGCCCAACACGGCUUUGGUGCGAUUUUCUGGUUCUGACGAGGAUAUGCGUUUUUACACAAGAUUUGCAAUCUACACUCACCUGAUGGCCUUCUGGCACUUGACUGAGCGGGCAGCAGAGACCACGUUUAUAAGUCACAAGCACCAAUCCAUCUGAAACAAGUGUUACUCGAAGAAAACCGACACUGCCAUCAAUCGACGAGUUCUUCUUGUUUAUGACUCAUCUGUCGCUGGGUCUGAAGCAGAAGGAUUUGGCCCAUUGGUAGUGAGAUUAUCAUCUCUUGGGCCAACUUCCUCUACUGUCUGCUUUUGGAUCAGCACGGAUAUGGAUCCCCAGGGAAACCAUCAAAGCCCACCUGCCACCCGAGUUCAAGGACUAUCCAGACACCCAGGUAGUGAUCGACUGCACUGAACUCCGCUGCCAGACAACAUCUUCACUACUACUGCAGAGUGAGGUGUUUUCUUCCUACAAGUCACACUGUACCUUUAAGGGCAUGUUGGGAAUGUCACCACAUGGAGCUGUCACUUUUAUGUCAUCGUUGUGUGCUGGAUCUGUGAUUGACAAGGAGAUCUUCAAGCAGUCUGGAAUUAUUUCCUUACUCCCCCAUGACAUGGCCAUUAUGGUGGAUAAGGGCUUUCUCGUAGAUGACAUUGUUCCGUGCAAGGUCUACCGGCCAGCAUUUCUGUCAAGACGCACACAGAUGCCAGCGCAUGAGGUUAGGGAGACCCAAUCCAUUGCCAGGCUGAGAGUACAUGUUGAAAAUGAUCUGCAGAGUAAAGGAGCACAAGCUGUUUGACACAGUCAUCCCCCUGACCAUCUCAGGCAGCAUCAACCAAUUAUUUGCCUGUUGGUCAACUAUCAAAACGGACCUUUUGUCAGAGCAUGGGCCAAGCCAGUGUAAAAUUUACAUGUGUUUAUUUGGUAGUAGCAAAAUAAUAAUUUGUUUAUCUACGACAUGUUUCAAUCAUUUGUGUUGUAGUGAAUAUCAGUUUGUGUGGAGCUUGUAAUUGGCUUUAAUUAGGCAAUGAGUUUAGGGGUGGGGGAAAGAAAUCAAGUAAACACAGAAUAGCCAGAAUGCAAGACUGAAUACAAUGUUAGAGAUGUGUAAUUGAUUAACUGAACUGUUGAACAUUUGCUGAAAUACAUUAUUUUAAACAAA